ensembl:lncRNA
CCCGCCUCCACCUGGGUCCUCCAGUCUUACCCCAUUCCUCACCCCUCAGCAUCAAACGCCUGCAUGUGUGUGUGCGCACAUCUCCUGGUUGUUAAAUUAUUUCCUUCUUUAAAUGUGAUGGCUGCAUCACUGGAGGCCCCGGGGUCGGAUGGAGAGGGAGGGAUGACUGAAUGAGCGGAGCGCAGAGGGGAGGAGAGCAGGUUUUUGUGCUGGAGGAGAAUGGGGAUUAGUCGCGGUGUAAGCCGGGGCAGCCGGGGGUCACCCCCGACAAAAAGGCCGGCAAACAACACCCCAGGUUUUAUCAGAGUAAUUCCCACACGGGUCCGGACUUAAAAACGAGAGGGCAACACGGAUGCAAAUCACAUUUAAUAAAGCUGUUUCUAUGGAUGUCAGCUGUUUAAACUGAAGAUGGAAGAGCAAGGACGUACUUUGCCACAAGAAAUGAACUGUGAGGAGCAUCGAGCCACAAACAUCAAGAAGCCCCGGAUGCUCCCAUAGAGGGCCAGUCACUGCGAGGGGACCCGUCCGCAGCCUUGUGCCUCCCAUCUCCCAUCCUCUCCUGCUCUGCUUGGCACAAAUUGGACCCCGCUGCUCUGGCUUUCCCCCGCUCCAUAACCCUACGCGCCCCCAUCCCGCGUGCUCCCGGUGUCCCAAACGUGGCUAAUCGGCAUCGGUUUAUCACGCCUCCGCAUAUUUCCCUCCCUCUCCUCCUAUAAAAACCCUCACCUCCGACGUUGGACCCGGUUCUGUCGUGGGAGAUUACGGGGGACCGAUUGCAGAAGACCGAAUGUGGCGAGAGGAGAUUAGCCGGGGACGCCAUAGAAAAUAGCAACGGGGCCAACGGAUUCCUCGCGAGGGGGCCUUAUCGUGCAAUUACACGUUGACACGUUUUAACCAGUUUUCAGCCUCUUAAUCCGAGGGCCCCCUCCUCCCCUUCCCUCCCCCUUCCCUCCCACCAAAGGCAGACCUAUCGGUGCUGAGGGAGCCUGACUCUCUCCAUCACUCUGCUGCUGUCGGGAAAAAGUCCGUCU